AUUGAACGCUGGCGGCAGGCUUAACACAUGCAAGUCGAGCGAGUGGCGGACGGGUGAGUAAUGUAUGGGGAUCUUCCCGAUGGAGGGGGAUAACUACUGGAAACGGUGGCUAAUACCGCAUACUAUCUGAUGAACCCAUAUGGGAUUAGCUAGUAGGUGGGGUAACGGCUCACCUAGGCAACGAUCUCUAGCUGGUCUGAGAGGAUGACCAGCCACACUGGAACUGAGACACGGCCCAGACUCCUACGGGAGGCAGCAGUGGGGAAUAUUGCACAAUGGGCGCAAGCCUGAUGAAGCCAUGCCGCGUGUAUGAAGAGGGCCUUAGGGUUGUAAAGUACUUUCAGCGGGGAGGCGUUAACCGAAGAAGAAGCACCGGCUAACUCCGUGCCAGCAGCCGCGGUAAUUC
rnacentral:rRNA from 1 species